CAGUGACAAAAUUCAACGGCCACGGUAUCCUGACCGCGCGAAGGUAGCAUAAUAACUCGUUCUUUAAAUGGGGACUUGAAUCAACGGCAUCACGAGGGUUACACUGUCUCCUUUUUCUAAUCAGUGAAACUAAUCUCCCCGUGAAGAAGCGAGGAUACCCAUAUAAGACGAGAAGACCCCAUGGAGCUUCAAACCCAAUUACACCCCCAACUUCUAUAACUACUGAACUUUAAGGGCCCUGUACAAUUGGUUUUAGGUUGGGGCGACCACGGAGUAUAACAAAACCUCCACAAUGAACGGAAUUAACUCCUCAUCUAAGAAAUACACCUCUAAGAAUUAAAAUAUUAACAUAAAAUGAUCCACUUUUUGAUCAAUGAACCAAGUUACCCUGGGGAUAACAGCGCAAUCCAUUUCAAGAGCCCCUAUCGACAAAUGGGUUUACGACCUCGAUGUUGGAUCAGGGUAUCCUAGUGGUGUAGCAGCUACUAAUGGUUCGUUGGUUCAACGAUUAAAACCCU
rnacentral:rRNA from 1 species